rnacentral:rRNA from 1 species
AAGUCGUAACAAGGUUUCCGUAGGUGAACCUGCGGAAGGAUCAUUAAAGUAUCUAAGGCGUUCGACCCGCGCCCUGCUCCUGCCGAAAGGCCGUGCAGCGGGUGUCGGCCGGCGUCUAAACCUUCACAAACCCCACUGUGCACCUUAACGGCGGAGGCUUGCGGGUGAGAGCCCGUUCGCCAAAGCCGUACCUACAAAACACUAGUAACCAAGAAUGUCAAGCGACUCUGUCGCCCAUUAAACAUAACGACUUUCAACAACGGAUCUCUUGGCUCUCGCAUCGAUGAAGAACGCAGCGAAAUGCGAUAAGUAAUGUGAAUUGCAGAAUUCAGUGAAUCAUCGAAUCUUUGAACGCACCUUGCGCUCCUUGGUAUUCCGAGGAGCAUGCCUGUUUGAGUGUCUUGAAGUCAUCAACCCCUCCGGUUUUUCGAAGCCGGGGACGGUUGGAUAUGGGGGCCUGCUGCCGCAAGGCUGCUCCCCUCAAAUGUGUCGGUUGGACCUGUGGGUCGGACUCGUCGGGCGUUGUAUCAUCCUCGCUCUGACGGAGACGUUCCCCUAUUGCCGUCCUCCCUCGACUCGCCCGCAGAGUGGCAGUCAACUCUUUGAAAUCUGACCUCAAAUCAGGUAGGACUACCCGCUGAACUUA